UCUAAUUGACCCACUGAAAAUGUUGCACAUACAGUUGAUGACAAUUCUACAUGACAGAUUCUGCAAAGGCAAAAUGAAAUAUCUGAGCUGCUCAUACAACCACACAGAGAAAGCCAACUGCCACCAAGACAAAUACCUGUUUUUGAAGGUGACCCACUGAAGUUCUAAAUGUCCAUGCAAGCCUUUAGGCACUGUGUAGGAGAAAGCUGCAUCUGAAGGUGAUUGCAUGUAUUAUUUGGAAAGGUACACCAGAGGGCGCCCACACGACCUUGUACAAAGCUGUUUACAUAUGAGUGCAGAGAGGUUUUGAAACAGCUAAAGCCCUCCUACAGGAACACUUCGGUAAUGAAACAAAGAUCACAGCAGCAUAUAUGGAAAAGGUUCUCAACUGGCCUGGGGUAAAGGCUGAAAGUGUUUAGUUACUGCAGGACUAUGCAUUAUUUUUAUGUGGAUGCAAUAAUGCAAUGUCAGAUUUAGAGGACAUGAAAGAGCUGGACAUGUCUGCCAACCUGAAAAUUGUUGUUUCAAAACUUCCAUUUAAAUUAAGGAAAAAAUGUUUACAUUCUGCAUGUGAUAUUUGGGAGAGACACAACCGCAGACCAAACCUUUAUGACGUUGUACACUUUGUGGAAUAUCAAGUCAAAAUCUUGUUUGAUCCUAUUUUUGGUGAUGUCCAAACUACUGAAAGGGUUAUGCAUGUUAAAAGGGAUGUGUAUACAGCAAAAUCUAAGUUGAAGCGAGACAACUUUGCUACAAACGUCUGCGCUGUUAGCAAAGUGCAACACAAGGACACACAAGAUGAUAAACGUAAGGACAAUAUCUGCAGCAAUUGUUUAUUCUGUUUACAAGAGCACAGUAUGGAUGAAUGUCAAUGAUUUGCCAAGAACAAACAUCAUGAAAAGAUCAACUUCUUAAAGGAAAAAGGAGUUUGCUUUGGGUGUCUCAACACUGGUCAUUUGAACAAAAAUUUUGAUAAGCGCAAAAAACCUGUGAAAAAUGCAAACGGAGCCAUCCAACAGCUUUACACAUUCAUGCAUAGGCUUAAUCUCACUGGGACAAAGUCAAUGGAACAAGGUACUACAGUCUUCCAAAUGUUUACACACAGAAAACAAUGCCAUUGAAUACAGCAAACAUCAUCAAACAAGAAGACCUUAAACAGUGGCCUUACCUUGAGCACAAUGAAAUCCCUGAAAUUGAUGCCAGCGUGGAGUUAUUAAUAAGUACUAAUGCUUCAAAGUUGGUAAAUUGUGAAUAGCCAAGGUGAGGGUCCCUUUGCUGUUAAAACCCUAUUAGGGUGGGUGAUCAAUGGCUUAGAAAAGGAUUGCGAAGACAACAUGAAUGACAGAUUAUCUGUGGAAUCACUUCAGCUGCUAUUGGAGAAGCAGUACCAAAAUGACUUCAAUGACAAAAUCACCGACGACAAAGAAGAAAUGUCAAGACAGAAGGCAAGAUUCAUUGAAAUAAUGGAACAAUCUGUAAACUUAAAGGACGGACAUAACAGUUUAAAGCUGACAUUCAAAGCCCAGAGGUAACACUGCCAAACAAUCAGAUCAACGGUGCCUCAUUGGACAAAGAAAUGAGAAGUUCCACCAAGAAUACACAAACUUUCUUGAGGAUGAUCCAGUGGAAGAAGAUGAUCCAGAGGUCAAACUGGAGAUCUCUACAAACACAGUAACUAUUCAAGAGGAUAAUGCAACCCAUCAACUCACACAUAGUUGCAAGGUUGCUCAAGGUCAAAAAGACUCUAUUGGAGUUGAGUCGAAGAAGAAAGCAACUUGUGAUGGUUGAAAUGGCUGAUCUUUGUUAUGUUGACAAGAAAAUGUUGGAAGCCAGAAAGUUGUUGGGACGAGACAGUGUAUCAACUGAGGAUCUAUUGGCAGCAGAAAACGCUAUCCUUCAGUUCUGUCAGAGGGAAAGAUUUGACAAAGAGAUUUGUGCAGGACAAGGACAGGAAAACUUGUAAAAAAGUGUAGUCCUAUCUACAAACUGAAUCCUGUCCUAGAGGAUGGACUGUUAAGAGUAGGUGGAAGAUUAUCCAGGACUGCAAUGCCCGAAGAGGGCAAACACCCAGUCAUCCUGUGUAAAGAUCAGUACAUCUCCAUGUUAAUUCUUAAAAAUGUUCAUGAACAGAUGAGGCAUGGUGGGAGAAAUUACAUCCUCUCCAAAUUGAGAGAAAGGUUCUGGGUCACUCAUGCCAAUGCAGCAGUAAGGAAAAUCUUGUCAAGUUGUGCUUUCUGCAAGUGUCACAAAGGAAAAAUGUGUGAUCAAAAAUGGCUGAUCUCCCCAAAGAAAGGAUUACUCCAGACUUACCUCCAUUUACUAAUGUGGGAGUGGACUAUUUUGGGCCCAUUGAGGUAAAACAAGGAUGUUCCUAUGUGAAAUGUUAUGGUGUUAUCUUUACAUGCAUGGCCAGCAGGGCAGGUCAUUUAGAAGUAGCACACUCAGUGGACACAGACUCUUGCAUCAGUAAGGGUAAUCUUACAGCAGGAGAUAUCGUUUUGGUUGCAGAUGCUAUAGCACCACGAAAUUCUUGGAUGACUGGAAUAAUUAUUAAAUCAUUUCCAGAUAAAUCUGGCAUAGUCAGAUCUGUGCAAAUCAAAACCAAAACAAACGUAAUUGAAAGAACAAUGUAAAAGUGAACAAACGCACCAAAGUGUCACGCCGCCCCAAGCAGGGAGGUGACAGCUGUGUGUUGUGUGCUUGUUUUGAGUUAUUUUUUCCCCUUUUGGAGUGUGUGAAAGGUGCUUGGUGGGUUUUGGUUUUGUCUGUCUUCCUGUGGCGUUCCCCCUCUCUCUCUCCCUCUCCUUCAGGGCGGAUGUUGUGGGCCGGGCCCCUGAGAGCUGGGCGUCUUCCUCCAGCUGCAGGCAAUUACUCCUUACACACCUGUUUCCCAUUUUCAUCUGAACCGGUUCUUCUUUCUUCUGAACCCUGCCAUCUCCUCAGUUCCCCGCCGGAUUAUUAGUGGUAUAGUAGAGUCCGUGGAGACCCCGCUCUACCCUGGAAGUCUCGCCGUUUCCCGCCUGCCUAGUUACUCGUCCUGCCUGGCCUACCUCAUUCUGUCUCGCCGCAUCUGUCUACCUUUUUCUUGUGUUCAAUAAACUGCUUCCUACCCUCCUGAACCGUGUCUCUGCCUGCAUUUGGGUUCGAGCCACGUGAAGUCCUGACACAAAGAGGGCUUUAUUUGGUUAUUUUUAUUGUAAGAUAUUUUUUGUUGUAUUGUCUCCAUACAUGUAUAUGUUUAAUUGUUAUGUCUUGUAGUACCAUGAACAAUUAGGGGCCGGUUGUGUUGGAGCCAUUCUGUAUAUUGGGAUGGGGUGGUGCUGUGUUCUGCUACAAGUCUACUUAAGACAGGUGUUGAUUAGUGCAGGUGUGGCACACAGCAAGGUGCAUGGUUUUUGACCGUGAGGCACGGCGUGUAAUCAUGGAGACUGACUUGAGUUAAGUUUAUUAUUUAAGAAAUGUUUAAUUUAUUGUUAUGUUAAUAAAUGGAUUGGCGUAUCCGACUUUAA